rnacentral:rRNA from 1 species
UACGGAGGGUGCAAGCGUUAUCCGGAUUUACUGGGUUUAAAGGGUGCGUAGGCGGGCCCUUAAGUCAGUGGUGAAAGCUCCGAGCUUAACUCGGAAACUGCCAUUGAUACUAUAGGUCUUGAAUUCGGUCGAGGUUGGCGGAAUGUGUCGUGUAGCGGUGAAAUGCUUAGAUAUGACACAGAACACCGAUUGCGAAGGCAGCCCACUAAGCAACGAUUGACGCUGAGGCACGAAAGCGUGGGGAUCAAACAGG